rnacentral:rRNA from 1 species
GAAUUGCCCUUAACAGGAUUAGAUACCCUGGUAGUCCACGCAGUAAACGAUGAAUACUAGCUGUAUGCGAUAUACUGUAUGCGGCACAGCGAAAGCGUUAAGUAUUCCACCUGGGGAGUACGUUCGCAAGAAUGAAACUCAAAGGAAUUGACGGGGGCCCGCACAAGCGGAGGAACAUGUGGUUUAAUUCGAUGAUACGCGAGGAACCUUACCCGGGCUUGAAAUGCAGACGACGAACCGAGAAACCGGUUUUCCAGCAAUGGCGUCUGUGUAGGUGCUGCAUGGUUGUCGUCAGCUCGUGCCGUGAGGUGUCGGCUUAAGUGCCAUAACGAGCGCAACCCCUAUCAUUAGUUACUAACAGGUUACGCUGAGGACUCUAAUGAGACUGCCACCGUAAGGUGUGAGGAAGGUGGGGAUGACGUCAAAUCAGCACGGCCCUUACGUCCGGGGCGACACACGUGUUACAAUGGGGGGUACAGAGGGUUGCUACCCGGUGACAGGAUGCUAAUCUCAUAAAGCCUCUCUCAGUUCGGAUCGAAGUCUGCAACUCGACUUCGUGAAGCUGGAUUCGCUAGUAAUCGCGCAUCAGCCAUGGCGCGGUGAAUACGUUCCCGGGCCUUGUACACACCGCCCGUCAAGCCAUGGAAGCCGGGGGGACCUGAAGUACGUAACCGCAAGGAGCGUCCUAGGGUAAAACUGGUAACUGGGGCUAAGUCGUAACAAGGUAACC